UACGAAGGGGGCUAGCGUUGCUCGGAAUUACUGGGCGUAAAGCGCACGUAGGCGGCUUGUUAAGUCAGGGGUGAAAUCCUGGAGCUCAACUCCAGAACUGCCUUUGAUACUGGCGAGCUUGAGUUCGGGAGAGGUGAGUGGAACUGCGAGUGUAGAGGUGAAAUUCGUAGAUAUUCGCAAGAACACCAGUGGCGAAGGCGGCUCACUGGCCCGGUACUGACGCUGAGGUGCGAAAGCGUGGGGAGCAAACAGGG
rnacentral:rRNA from 1 species